UACAUAGAAAAGAUCAAUAUACACUGAGUGGCCAGAUUAUUAUGAUCUCUGAACGCAUAAUAAUCAGGCCACUCAGUGUAUAUCCUAUAUAAUCCUAUA